GACGAACGCUGGCGGCGUGCUUAACACAUGCAAGUCGAACGGAAAGGCCCUGCUUUUGUGGGGUGCUCGAGUGGCGAACGGGUGAGUAACACGUGAGUAACCUGCCCUUGACUUUGGGAUAACUUCAGGAAACUGGGGCUAAUACCGGAUAGGAGCUCCUGCUGCAUGGUGGGGGUUGGAAAGUUUCGGCGGUUGGGGAUGGACUCGCGGCUUAUCAGCUUGUUGGUGGGGUAGUGGCUUACCAAGGCUUUGACGGGUAGCCGGCCUGAGAGGGUGACCGGCCACAUUGGGACGGAGAUGCGGCCCAGACUCCACCGGGAGGCAGCGGUGGGGAAUAUUGCACAAGGGGCGGAGGCCUGAUGCGGCAACGCCGCGUGCGGGAUGAGGGCCUUGGGGUUGUAAACCGCUUUCGCCUGAGACGAAGCGUGAGUGACGGUAAUGGGUAAAGAAGCACCGGCUAACUACGUG
rnacentral:rRNA from 1 species